AGUGAACGCUGGCGGUAUGCCUAACACAUGCAAGUCGAACGGCAGCACAGUAAGAGCUCGCUCUUACGGGUGGCGAGUGGCGGACGGGUGAGGAAUACAUCGGAAUCUACUUUUUCGUGGGGGAUAACGUAGGGAAACUUACGCUAAUACCGCAUACGACCUACGGGUGAAAGCAGGGGAUCUUCGGACCUUUCGCGAUUGAAUGAGCCGAUGUCGGAUUAGCUAGUUGGCUGGGUAAAGGCCCACCAAGGCGACGAUCCGUAGCUGGUCUGAGAGGAUGAUCAGCCACACUGGAACUGAGACACGGUCCAGACUCCUACGGGAGGCAGCAGUGGGGAAUAUUGGACAAUGGGCGCAAGCCUGAUCCAGCAAUACCGCGUGGGUGAAGAAGGCCUUCGGGUUGUAAAGCCCUUUUGUUGGGAAAGAAAAGCAGCAGGUUAAUCCCCCGCUGUUCUGACGGUACCCAAAGAAUAAGCACCGGCUAACUUCGUG
rnacentral:rRNA from 1 species